rfam:Gossypium hirsutum cultivar TM-1 chromosome 10, whole genome shotgun sequence
UAUUAAAAAUUUCAUCAAUUUUUACUAUUAAAAAUUGGUGUAAUUGAUGGAAUAACCAUACAAGUACACUUAACGUGACAUACCACAUAUAUCUCAUGGUGACGUACAUGGACUCGUUUUUAACAAUAGUAAUGGAUGCAAUUUUUAACA